AAUGAAUUAUUAUUAUUUCUUGCGAGGUGGUGAAACAGGCUGAUGGGCUUCUAGUCGAAUUUGUGCUUUCUUUUUGCUAUGAUUACGUUGAGCUAUCAUGUGAUUUCGUAUUGAAACAUCUUUCAAUAAUCCAAAAACAGAUGGAGAAGGGAAAUGUGAAUUUUUUGUAUAAGUGGAUGUAUUUCAUUUGAUAGAGGAUAACAUUCAUAGAAGAGAUAAUGUAGUUUGGAAGACGUAGGAUUGCGUAUUGCUACGCGAGUAUGAAGUU